UACGUAGGGUGCAAGCGUUACUCGGAAUUACUGGGCGUAAAGCGUGCGCAGGCGGUUGUGCAAGUCAGAUGUGAAAUCCCCGGGCUUAACCUGGGAACUGCAUUUGUGACUGCACGGCUAGAGUGUGUCAGAGGGGGGUAGAAUUCCACGUGUAGCAGUGAAAUGCGUAGAUAUGUGGAGGAAUACCGAUGGCGAAGGCAGCCCCCUGGGAUAACACUGACGCUCAUGCACGAAAGCGUGGGGAGCAAACAGG
rnacentral:rRNA from 1 species